rnacentral:misc_RNA from 1 species
UACGUAGGGUGCAAGCGUUAAUCGGAAUUACUGGGCGCAAAGCGUGCGCAGGCGGUGGUAUAAGACAGAUGUGAAAGCCCCAGGCUCAACCUGGGAACUGCAUUUGUGACUGCAUCGCUGGAGUGCGGCAGAGGGGGAUGGAAUUCCGCGUGUAGCAGUGAAAUGCGUAGAUAUGCGGAGGAACACCGAUGGCGAAGGCAAUCCCCUGGGCCUGCACUGACGCUCAUGCACGAAAGCGUGGGGAGCAAACAGG